rnacentral:rRNA from 1 species
AGUNCGCUGGCGGCAGGCCUAACACAUGCAAGUCGAACGGAAACGACAAGAACAAACUCUUCGGAGGGCGAUCUUGGGCGUCGAGUGGCGGACGGGUGAGUAACGCGUGGGAAUCCACCCUUUAGUUGGGGACAACAUAUGGAAACGUAUGCUAAUACCGAAUAUGCUCUACGGAGUAAAGGUGGCCUCUACUUGUAAGCUAUCGCUAAAGGAUGAGCCCGCGUUAGAUUAGCUAGUUGGUGGGGUAAAGGCCUACCAAGGCGACGAUCUAUAGCUGGUUUGAGAGGAUGAUCAGCCACACUGGGACUGAGACACGGCCCAGACUCCUACGGGAGGCAGCAGUGGGGAAUAUUGCACAAUGAGGGAAACCUUGAUGCAGCCAUGCCGCGUGUGUGAAGAAGGCCCGAGGGUUGUAAAGCACUUUCAAUUGUGAGGAAAGGUUAGUCGCUAAUAUCGGCUAGCUGUGACGUUAACUUUAGAAGAAGCACCGGCUAACUCUGUGCCAGCAGCCGCGGUAAUACAGAGGGUGCAAGCGUUAUUCGGAAUUACUGGGCGUAAAGCGCGCGUAGGCGGACUGUUAAGUCGGUUGUGAAAGCCCUGGGCUCAACCUAGGAAUUGCAUCCGAUACUGGCAAUCUAGAGUUUAGGAGAGGGAAGUGGAAUUCCUGGUGUAGCAGUGAAAUGCGUAGAUAUCAGGAGGAACAUCAGUGGCGAAGGCGACUUCCUGGCCUAAAACUGACGCUGAGGUGCGAAAGCGUGGGUAGCGAACGGGAUUAGAUACCCCGGUAG